rnacentral:lncRNA from 1 species
CAAACCUAGGACCAGCUUCAAACUCCCACACUCUGCUCCCUCUUACUGUGUGAAAAUAAGUAACACACACACUUAUGGAAUCAUGGAACUCUUCUUGCUGAUUGGGGCCAUCCCAAGAGAGCACCACUCAGAGCUCCCUUUGAGAGGGAACCUGCUGCAUGAGGGAACACCUUUGGGACCCUGCAGUGUUCACAAUGAGGCCUUCCUGAGCACAUCAGAAGGACCAGGGCUGGGUCAGGAGACUCCUCAGCUCUAGGGCUGCCCAUCUGCCUGGCCAAGACUUUCUUGGAGCUGAGCUACAGUCUCAGGUUCUUCCCACCCAACCCUCUUUCCCCUCUUUCCUGCCCUCUCUCCUUUGGCAAGUCUCAGGCCUGCCUUGUUGCCUGAAGUCUCUCCUCACUGACCUCUGCUCCUUUGUCCUUUAUCCCUCAUAGGUGUCAUCCCCAACAUGUUAAUUGCACACCUAAUUCCAUCCUGGCAUCCAUUUCUCAGAGGACCGAAAAGACACACUUCUUAUACCUGCUUUGACUCACUAUGUGGACUACACCACAGAUAGGAUCUACAAGGCCUGGGGAUCUUCUUAAUAAUUUACGGAAAGGGCCAACAGCAGCAAGGAGAGCAUUGACACAACCUGGCCCAGUUCUCCAGACCUGCUCAUGGCUGUCACUUGGGCUGCAAGCCUUCCUCUUCCUCCCCAGACUGUUCCUGGAAGGUGUGGAGAUGCAAUGAUGCAUUCCACGCCCCAGAACUUACUCGUGGUGUCAGCAGACAGACCCAGUGUUUCCAGCUUGAGACCUUCCUUUUUAGCUCAGUUUUCAUGAGGUCACCUUUAUAUCCUCAAAUGAGAGAGGCUCACAGAUGCUCAAGCUUACCCAGGUGUGAUCCUGGUUAUUCACAUGAGCGCCAUGGUGUGAGCUCAGAGGUGCAACAAACCGUGCCCCUCAAAUCUCCCUUCCACACUCCUGUCCCAACACCUGACAUCUAGACCAAGAAGGUUACUGCUUGGGUCACAGGUAUGGCAAAUGGGUUUCAUUGCAAAUGCCACCUCCAAAUUACUGAG